rnacentral:rRNA from 1 species
AUACAGAGGGGCAAGCGUUGUUCGGAAUUACUGGGCGUAAAGCGCGCGUAGGCGGCUUUGUAAGUCAGAGGUGAAAGACCUGGAGCUCCAAGUCCAGAACUGCCUUUGAGACUGCAUCGCUAGAAUCAUGGAGAGGUAAGUGGAAUUCCGAGUGUAGAGGUGAAAUUCGUAGAUAUUCGGAAGAACACCAGUGGCGCAAGCGGCUAUCUGG